UGUUCAAAAUUUCAUCCCUUUGCACUGUUGAAAAUUGGCAUAGCUAACAAAGUAAUUAGAUAUUUACAUGAGGCAUGCCACGUGUACCUCAUCUGAUGUACAAGGACAAGUUUUUAGCAGUAAAAAUAGAUGAAUUUUUUAACA
rfam:Gossypium hirsutum cultivar TM-1 unplaced genomic scaffold scaffold516.1, whole genome shotgun sequence